rnacentral:rRNA from 1 species
GCUUGUCUCAAAGAUUAAGCCAUGCAUGUCUAAGUAUAAGCUAUCUUAUACAGCGAAACUGCGAAUGGCUCAUUAAAUCAGUUAUAGUCUACUUGAUCGUAUCUUCUUACAUGGAUAACCGUAGUAAAUCUAGAGCUAAUACAUGCUAAAAAUCCUGGACGCGGCAACGCGGAAGGGACGAGUUUAUUAGAUUAAAAACCGACACCUCUCCGCGAGGGGAGGUAGCACAGGUGAUUCACAGUAACCGAUCGGAUCGUCGGCCCUGCCGACGACGAUGCAUACGAGUUUCUGCCCUAUCAACUUUAGAUGGUAGAGUAUCGGUCUACCAUGGUCGUAACGGGUGACGGGGGAUUAGGGUUCGAUUCCGGAGAGGGAGCCUGAGAAACGGCUACCACUUCCAAGGAAGGCAGCAGG